ACGCUAGCUACAGGCUUAACACAUGCAAGUCGAGGGGAAACGACAUUGAAGCUUGCUUCGAUGGUCGUCGACCGGCGCACGGGUGAGUAACGCGUAUCCAACCUGCCUCUGACCAAGGGAUAACCCGUCGAAAGUCGGACUAAUACCUUAUGCAGUCGUCGGAAGUCAUCUGAUGACGACGAAAGAUUUCAUCGGUGAGGGAUGGGGAUGCGUCUGAUUAGCUUGUUGGCGGGGUAACAGCCCACCAAGGCGACGAUCAGUAGGGGUUCUGAGAGGAAGGUCCCCCACAUUGGAACUGAGACACGGUCCAAACUCCUACGGGAGGCAGCAGUGAGGAAUAUUGGUCAAUGGACGAGAGUCCGAACCAGCCAAGUAGCGUGCAGGAUGACGGCCCUAUGGGUUGUAAACUGCUUUUAUGCGGGGAUAAAGUGAGGGACGUGUCCUUCAUUGCAGGUACCGCAUGAAUAAGGACCGGCUAAUUCCGUGCCAGCAGCCGCGGUAAUACGGAAGGUCCGGGCGUUAUCCGGAUUUAUUGGGUUUAAAGGGAGCGUAGGCCGUGGAUUAAGCGUGUUGUGAAAUGUAGACGCUCAACGUCUGACUUGCAGCGCGAACUGGUCCACUUGAGUGUGCACAACGCAGGCGGAAUUCGUCGUGUAGCGGUGAAAUGCUUAGAUAUGACGAAGAACCCCGAUUGCGAAGGCAGCUUGCGGGAGCACGACUGACGCUGAAGCUCGAAAGUGCGGGUAUCGAACAGGAUUAGAUACCCUGGUAGUCCGCACGGUAAACGAUGGAUGCCCGUUGUCAGCUGUAUCAGUCUGGUGACCAAGCGAAAGCAUUAAGCAUCCCACCUGGGGAGUACGCCGGCAACGGUGAAACUCAAAGGAAUUGACGGGGGCCCGCACAAGCGGAGGAACAUGUGGUUUAA
rnacentral:rRNA from 1 species